GGGGUGGAGGGGGAGCAGGGCCUAGCUGAUGUUCAUAAUGAUCAGCAGCUCUUUGUUUGGCUGAAGAGGUAGAUCUAAUCAUCAUUUCUGAGGAUCAGUUAGUCACUGGUGAGUCUGCUCAAUUCAUUCAGUCACUGACUUACGUACUUUGCUUAUGUACAAAUCCCUUCUUUAUUAAAAAAAGGGUGAAGACCGAGCCCUUGUGACACAGUAUUUCAAUUAAGAGAAAUGAAUAUGAGUAAGUCCUAAACCCACACUUAUCCUAUGGUUAACACUUUUUCUCCCACAUAGGAAUAUGAGACCUGCACCUUCCUUUCCCAUUGUGGGUGUGCUACAAUUUGAAGGAAGCCAAUCACUUAUCCAUCUAAUUUAUGGAAGAUCUUGAUGUGAAGGGCUCUUUGUAGAUCCCAUCAGAGCUACCCAGCCAUUCUGACACAUGUGAGUUGACAUCUCAUUGUGCUUUCGACCUGCAUUUCCCUGAUGAUUAGCUAUGUUGAACAUCUUUUCACAUAUGCCUGUUGGCCAUCUGCGUAUUGCAACCUGCAUCCGCCCUCCUUCGGCAGGAAUUCCUGUCCUAAAAGAUCCUGAGCAUAAGCCCCUGCCUGCUUUCAACAACUUGGGAAAGGAGCCCUCAGUACUUUCUCCAACUCAGGCUUUUGUUUCUCUACACCCAGCAUUGUCCACCGUUUCUCAGCUGCCAUCUAUUUAUUGAGGAUCAUUGUCAAUGCACCUCUGAAUGCCAUGCCUACAUCUCUGGGUAAUGUUCCUCCAAACUUGGCAGCUGUCCACUCUUUUUCAGCAUGUACUGUCUUAGCAAUGCUGUUCUUGCUGUAAGAAAGCGUUCCCAUGUUGAUUUUCUAGCAGGGUUCUGAAUUCCUUCCAGCUCCUCUGGUUUUCUAAGGUGCAAUCCAUUCUAUUGUUUUCAGUUGAGGAGUUCCCUCUAGCCAAGAAUUACUUUUUGUUAAAUCAUCCUUUCCAAAUGUUUUCUCUACAAUCUCUGUAAUGAACUGACAGAUGGGUGUCUGAUCUUCAGGAGAUAUAAUGAAGAUUUAUUUUCUAAACUGUCAGGACAAGCCAAGGUUAUCAUACAAGAAAACUAACACACUGCAAAUUGCACUCAAUUCAACCAAAAAUGUCAAUUUCAUUGGCUGUGACUUUUUCCUCUGUAUCCCGUUGAUAAUAUAGAUAUACUUAUAUAUUCAGAGCUUGUAUCAUCGCAUUGAUUACCUUGCUGAUAAACACUAAUUUUUGAGAAGACCAGAGCUUUCAUGAGUUCCAUAAAUCUUAUCACAUUCAGGAUAAUACUUUUAAAAUUUUAACUAAGAAUGGAUAAUGGUUCUGGUCAUUUGGUUAUUCUGUGUCCUUCAGAGAAAUGAUCUGAAUAUCCCACUUGGGCAACUUGAAGAAAAAUGCCCACAUCUAUAGAUCAUCAAUGAACACUGAAUAAGCUUAGGUCCAGUUUAUGCCUGCCCAUAGACAGUGAACUCUGGAGGAUAGAAAUAUUACUAGGUGACAUCAUGGUAGAAGGAAUAGAUCUGCCACAAAGAAUUUCCAAUUUUCUAAAACCAACACAAACUUCUACCCUUGCUAAUAAAUAACAUCUGAGCCACUUGACUUUCUAAAGG
ensembl:lncRNA